rnacentral:tRNA from 1 species
GCUACUGUAGCUCAGAUGGUAGAGCAGGAGUUUUGUAAACUUCAGGUCGUUGGUUCGAUUCCAAUCAGUAGCUCCA